ensembl:lncRNA
UUGUGUGGCCGGGCCGGAAACAUGGAAGUACGAGGCCUGCAAGAGGCGCUGAAAGUAGAGAUCCAAUGUCACCAGGUAACCAGCCGUCGUUGUUCUCCGGUGGUCGUAAAGAAGCAGCCGCAGAAACAAGAUGUCGCUUAAUAACGUCGAGCACGCGCCACUUGUGCUCUGAAUCUCUACGGCUUUGUUUGUUUGUUUGUUUGUUGUUGUUGUUCGCGGUGCAACAAGAAGCCCUCUUUUCUUCUCGGGCUAAUAAUGCGGUGGUGUGGCGGCGAUCCGGACGCGACCUGAAUAUUUAUGAGGAGCCAAAGAGUCGCCUCCACCUCCUCCUCCUCCUCCACCUCCUCCGCUUUGUUCCUCCCUUCCUCACACUAACAAAACUUGAGGGGACUUUUGUUUUAGCGUAAUAAGGCCGCAGUUACUGAACUAGUUGCCCAGAUGAAGCAGGACCCACAGGUAUUUAAAGUACAUGUAUUACACGGCUAGCUCCUCAAGCUAACGCCGAGGCGGCUGUGCGAGGGAAACUUUAUCGGCCUAAUGCUGCUCCGUGGCGGCUUAGCGUGCAUGUGGAUGCCGUGUGUUUAGGUGGAUGUCCGUGUGGCAGGUGGUGAUUGUCCCCUUGUGUUUUCCCGCAGGAUGGAGAGCUUAAGAGACAGCUACACGACCGGCGGAUAUCAGCCCUGAGCGACAAGCAAGUAAGUCUUCUGGCCUCAUAACAAACAUGGUGGAUGGGGACUCAAAAAGAGAAAAGAUGGGAAAGUGAACGCCGUUCACGCCCGCUGUGUGUGUGUGUGUGUGUCUGUGUGAGUCCGUCUGUGUGUGUGUGUUUGGACUUCCUGUCUCUCGGCAUCUCAAAGUUAUGUUAAAAAAACUGUUCGCGUCCAUUUUGAGUUCAUGUUUCUGGAGAGUAAAAAGGAGCUAAUAAAGGAGCUAGCUUUAGCCUUUAACUCUCCGGCUCGGACUUGUGGCGGGGAGCCGCUACGGCGGAAGUUUAAGACGUUAAGACCGUCUCCACCGGGCCGGAGGUGCUUUUAGGGCCUGUUAAAUGGCGGAUUAUUUGUUACUUUAUACUUUUAGUCCGGUGGUGUUUUUUCUCCUCGCGCAGGGGGGGGCGGUGGGGGGGUCACGUGACCGCAGAUGGUGCACUCGAUUCGCCUGCUUUCACUUUUCUUCCCGUUGCUGUCUUUUUAAUAGCUUUAAACUGGGCUUAACUUUUGAUGCCGCGGUGGCGGUGCCACACGGCGGCAGGUGCUGAUGGAGAAGCCGGGUAGCGGAGUUCAGCACCGCGGACAGCUCCCCCCCCUCUCCCGGUGGCUCGCUGCUGCUGCUGCCUCGCACCGCCCCGCCGGUCGGUCCCAGCCUUGAGAGCGGGGGACUGCCGGCUGGGUCCGCAGGCCCGUUAAAACAGCAACGCCGAUAGUUCGUAAAAUGUCUGCGUACUCUUAUUAAAACGGUCCGUCGUCGUUAGAAUGAAAGCCCGCCGCUCCGAAGCCCCGCUGCUCCCAAAACACGCACUCUGGAGUUGGAGUUCCGUGAGCGGCGGCACUGCGGCUUCCCAGACCCCGUUAACACAUCGCUAAAUGUGACCGUUUAGGUCUGAGCCGUGACGGGAAUCACAGCGCGUGUCUUUGUGUGACUCCACGAGAAACGCGCUUCACUUCGGCGGUUAUCUCACCUGUGUGGACUAAGUUAAGCAAACUAAAGUGGGCUAUGUUUUUUUUUAAAUUAAAGGGCACCUAACCGCCUCAUCCAGCGGCUUUAAUUAGUCCCGAUCGCCGUUAAACUUGGCACAUAGUGGGACUCCAGCACCGCCCAGUUCACCCAGCUUCUGCUGCUCCCUCUGAAGCGUGUGUGUGCUGUGACUUCUCCUUCUGUUUGGUAGUGGAAGCUUCCAUUUUGAGAGAGAAAAGGGGGUGUAUCCCCCCCCCCCCCUCACACCAGAGAGGGGAAAAGUCUGCAGAGUUUUGUGCAGGAGGAGGAGGAGGGGGGAUGGGCCCCAUUCAUGCCGAACAUUACCAUUUUGAUUGCUUUGAUGCUGUUUUUGGAUGUGGGGGGGUCGGCAGUGAAAAGAGAGACACAGAAAGCCCAGUCAGCACCGCUGCACACAGCCAGGUUUUUAAUCACCACGCUGAUUAAUUCUUCUCUUCUAGCUGCCAAACGUGACCUUUUAUUACUUUUUCCUUCUGCACGCACACAUGAACCCGAAUCCUCCUCGUCCGCAACGGAAUAAUAAACUGGAAUGUUUGGAUGUGGUUACUAGCGGCGUGGAGAGCGGGUGGAGGCCUGGAGGUCAUCUCAUGGUCACGGGCUUCAUGUGAGGUUCAGCUCUCACAUGGGUGCAUGUUGUGAAGGAGAACAAGUGGUUUCAUAACACCAGCCCACAGUUUAUCACCAGAGGAGGAGUAGAGGGAUGGAGAUUGGAGGAAUCAAUGGGGGGGGCUCAUGUUCAGUGUGGAGGUCUCUCCUUUAGCCUCCUCCUGAGAGAGAGAGAACUUCAUUUAGUAGAUGUUUCAUAGGAUUAGGUUACUGGAAAACUGUUUUUGAUUUAGUCUUUAGACGAAAAAUGCAUAUUAGUUUUAGUCAGAUUUAGUCAUUUUAAUCCUUCUUAGUUUUAGUCAACGGAAACUAGACUAAAAUGUAAUUAGUUUUAUUCUAGUUUUAGUCACAUUUAACAGCCAUAUUAAACUCUUCCCUUCUCAGGCCCAGAGACCCUGUGUUGUGUCUACAGCUGCAUAAUAGUCCAGCUUGCAGUACUUGGUUGUCCAUUAGAUGUCCCUCCUAGGACAGGUCUAUAGAUGUCCCUCCUAUAGGACAGGUCUAUAGAUGUCCCUCCUAUAGGACAGGUCUAUAGAUGUCCCUCCUAGGACAGGUCUAUAGAUGUCCCUCCUAUAGGACAGGUCUAUAGAUGUCCCUCCUAUAGGACAGGCCUAUAGAUGUCCCUCCUAUAGGACAGGCCUAUAGAUGUCCCUCCUAUAGGACAGGCCUAUAGAUGUCCCUCCUAUAGGACAGGUCUAUAGCAGGUCGGCAAACGUUUUGACUCGCGGUCACAGUAGGUUUGUAAAAUGUGACGGAGGAAGAACAAAUGGUUGAAGUGUUUGUGUGAGCGAAUAUAAAUGACGUGUGAAACAUCAUCACAUGAAAGGAUUUGGAUUUUAACAAAUAGCAAAGCAUUUAUUUGCAAGGCAAUUUAACAAAUUGUCAAAGGUGUAACAACUUCAUGAGGACCAGGGACCUAAACGCAACACUUUGUUGUCUUUGUCUGUUUACUUGAGUGCUUUUGACACUUCAUGCUCCUUUAUUGUUUCCACUGUCCCAACUAAAGAGACCUUAACGUCCUACAAUCAAUGCAAUACAUUAUGUUCUUGGCUUCAGAACCUGCAAUAAGUUUAUUACGUUAGACGUGUUUGUGACGGAGCGUCUCAUCCAGCGAGGAAACGCUGCCUGCCGUCGCCAGAGAACAGAGCAGAAAGGUCCCACAGUCUUUAAACGCGUCUUCAUGUUUCUGUGAAGCAGCGCGGCUUCAGCCCGCUAACAGUCAGCUAACAGUCAGCUAACCAGAGACAGCUAACAGGCAGCUAACCCGAGACAGCUGAGCUAAACUAACGAAGCCACGUUCAAACUAUAAAAUAGUCGUCGCGGUCCGUAAUCGGUGCACCGCUGCACCGAUACGAGCGUUCUGGGUUGGUGGAUGACGUCAUCAUGACGCGUUAAUAACCGCCGUACUUUGUCUGUCGGUUGUCUGUCAGCUGCGUGCGAAUUUAGGGGGGAAAAGUAUUGUGACUUCGUCAACCACCAACAUGUUCGUCUCGUCUUAGUCAAGGAAAAAGGUCAUUAAGCAACAUUUUUCGUCGACGAAAUGAACGCUGGCGUGAUGGAGGCUGAAUUUGCUCGCCGCGCACUCACAGGUCUGAUUAAGAAGAACUACUUUUCUUUAAAAGAACAUUUGAUUCUUCCUGCACACGCAACAUCCUUCAAGGAGAGAAUCAAAACAUUCUACGGCAACUGGACCGGGUCCAAAAGGCUACAAUGGUACAAAUACAAAUACUUCCAAACGGUACUUGAGUUUACAUUUGAGCCAAAUUAAGUAUUUUUAACUGGAUGACGUAAUAUUAUGGAUUAUAUGAGCAUGACGGGAUCGAUGAACAUAGUAUGUAUUAUAAUACUUGUUACUCUUUUGUACUGGUAUUUAGUUUAAAUGCAGUAGUUGUACUAGUAGAUACAAGUAUAGUAGUAUUUGUAGAGAGUGCGGUUUGUGACCCCGAGACGACGAAUGUGAAACACUCUUCGGUCCAAGCAGCUGUCAUUACCACGGCAACCAGAGGUUCCAAACAAUCACCAUGGAGACGCUGUCAGAGAAAAGUCUCAUUCAAGUGGCAGGUCAACGGGAAGAAAGGGAUAUUGUCUGAGAUUAAAAUGCUCCGUUUACUUGAAUUACGUUUCGUAUGCUUUCCAAAUGAAAUGCUAUUUACUAGAAUACACGGUUAUUUUCUCUCAGAUUAAAGUAGCGAGUUUAAAGAAAACAAUCAUGGAUCAUUUGCAAUAAAAGAGCAAGAAUGAGGACAAAUUACAAAUUUAAGUUAAUUUACAAGAGAAAAGCUCAAAUAUUCUCUGAAAGUAAACUAUUUUAAAGGUAAAUUGAAAAGAUAUUUUCCAUAAAUUCAAAUCAACAUGUGUAGAUGCUUUUAUUAUGGCGGUCGAACAGGGUUGUUAGAACGUGUUGCUAGGAUACGAGGGUGAGGAAAUGUGAGGGAGUUCAUAGAGGGUGAGGCAGCGAGAGACGUCUCACAUUCACCUCCACAAGAUGCUCCACCAACACCAGAGCCUCCAGGUGGCCCCGUGAGCCCAAAACUACAGCGCUCACUUCAGCCACAGCAGUCAGAGUUCCCCUGACCAAUGGUCCUUGAACACAUCAUGCGUAAGUCAGAUUCUGUUAAAAACAUUACAGUCCAAACUUUGUGAAAGUGCAUCAUUUAUUCAUAUGAGAUCAACCGUCAUGUGACCAGAAGUCAGAGAAACUGACUGAACACAACAACUAACAACAACUAACAUGUUGGUGGUUCUUGUGCACCGACUACGGACCGCAACGACUAUUUUACGCUUCGGCGAGUUUGAACGUGGCUUCGUUAGUUUAGCUCAGCUGUCUCGGGUUAGCUGCUUGUUAGCAGGCUGAAGCCGCGCUGCUUCACAGAAACAUGAAGACACGUUUAAAGACCGUCAGACCUUUCUGCUCUGUUCUCUGGCGACGGCAGGCAGCGUUUCCUCGCUGGAUGAGACGCUCCGUCACAAACGCGUCUAACGUAAUAAAGUCAUUGCAGGUUUUGAAGCCUCACGAAUUUCAACUAUAGUUCCCGCCUGUUCAAGACUGUUAAACUGUCUCGUUCGUUCGUUACUAAGCAACAGACGCGUGUGAAAUAAUGUAUUGCAACGAUUGUAGGACGUUAAGGGGUCUCUUUUGUUGGGACGAGCAACUUCACAGUGGAAACCAUAAGGAGGGACAUCUAAUGGACAACCAAGUACUGCAAGCUAGACUAUUAGGCAGUUGUAGACACAACACAGGGGGUCCCUGGGCCUGAGAAGGGAAGAAAAGGAGUUUAAUGUGGCUGUUAUGGCGCGUUUCCACCGAGCGGUGCGGGUCGGGUCGGGUCCCUUUUAUUUGUGUCUCCACUCCCAAAAUUUGAGAAUGGUACCAACAAUCCGAACCGUACCACCUUUUGGGUUCCCUUCCGUUGGGGCACCUGGCACAGCUGUUUGGUACUAAGGGGCGGAGCUAGACUCACUGCAGAGCGUUGAUUGGUUGAAAGAGUGUCGUCAUUUGCGCUGUGUUUUUCCUUGCAGCCUUUGCUCAAACAAAGAUGGUCGUCUCCUUGUGACAAACAGCCACAUGUGGAGAAGCAGGAACAGGAUCGGCUGCACGUCCUCCGUUGUUGUUUGCGGUUAGCUUUCAGUUUCAAAAAAGUCAAACACUUUGAAUCCGUAGAUUACUGCCUUAAUGGUCUUAUUGCUGCUAUUUGAUGACGAAUGCAUACACACUAAGCCAAAUUAAGUAUAUCUAUUAUUUUUAACAAAGGUUAAAUGUUAUUUCACAAUUUUCAAACUAUGUCCCCAAUUUCUUAUGAAAUGACCUUGGUUUUCAGUCAUUGGGGGCUGAAUUCCUACCCUGGUCAUGGUAGUACAGUGUACACGGGGCUGUGUAUUUGUACCUGGUAUGGUACCUGCUGAGCCCUGCCUGGAUCUCCACGUCUCCCUUUUACUGAGUGGCCUUCUUCACGUUGUUGUUCAUGAAACUCUGUUUGCUGAGUAUCGUUGAGAAGAAUCCAUAUAACGAAGGAGAAAGCAGCCGUGGGUUUGGUCCUGUUGUUGUUGUUUGGUUCAACUGAGUGGUGACUAAACAGGAAGUCAGGGAGAAGAUGUCCUCCAGUGAUGCUGGACAGCUCCUCCCCAGAAUGCUGCGCUCUGAUUGGCCGACACCUCUGCUGAACGGCUACUCAAGGAGAAGCUAAAGUGUGCUGGCGUUCAGUGGAGGAGCCGCUGUGCGUCUCAGGCUGGAUUUGAAUUGUCCAAUUUGCUUAGCAAGCUUCCUACCUGACGCUAAGGAAAGGAGCUCCAAUACUUAAAUAGUGACGUAUCAUCGGUUCGUCCACAAUAAAUAAUGAUCAUGAUGUGGACACGCAGAUCAUGUGAGUAACCGUUAGCAUCACUCAUUUACAUUAAUAAAGCUUUUCUUUGGACCUGGUAACACAUGAAGGCAUCUGAGAUGCUUCUUUGUAGCCGCUGCAGACUGACGUCACCAACAUGCGUCUCCGUCCGUCACGACUACGCAGCUCAGUGGAAGAGGAGUCCAUUCCCUGAACACCGCGUUGUCUUUUCCUAACUCAACCGUCCCAACCACCUUCCCUUGACCCUGUGGCGUUUUCUACAGAGGUCAAGGAUUAGUGGUUACAAAUAGACGUGAGGAGGUCGCAUAUGAACCCAACCACACACUUCCUGUCCCUGUGUUGACCUCCUGAACAUCAGAACACUUCCCAGGUUUCUCUCUCAGGUCCUCCUCCUCUUUCCUGUUGCUCAUGAUGCCCCGCCCCUCUCAUUUGAUGCCCCGCCCCCCACGCAACAUCCGGGUCAAAAGUUUGGAUGUGGAAAAGAAAAAAGCUAUGAAAGUCGAACAGAUUUAAAACUGAAAAUAUAAAAUCUGCAACUGAACAAUAUAAUACAGCAAAUAAUUAAAAAAAAUGUUUCCAUGGCGAUGGAUUUAGUCUCUUGAGUGUUUGGUCACUGAGUUUUGUUCAGGCUGAGACGUACCGGUGACUCCUCAGAGCUGUGUGUGUGUGUGUGUGUGUGUGUAAGGCGCUAACAAUGGACUCAGCCAGCUCUACACACAGCAGCAGAAAGAGGUCAACAAAGAGUGCGAGCCCUCUCAGGGCCGCUCUGAUUGGUCUCCUGCUGUCCAACGCCAGCCUCUGAUUGGACGCUGACACUCAAACACGUGAAACGCUGCAGCAUUUUCUUCCUUUUUCCUCGUUGACCCGGCUUCACGUGGUCAGAACAGAACGCCGUGUCCCGUCGGAGCUUCAAGGCGCUUCAUUCAAAUGAGAGCGGUGUGUGGGAGGGGCCUCUGUUUCUGGCCCUCAUUUGCAUACUUCUUCUAGGCCAACAUCCCACAAUGCCCUGUUUUCUUUUUUUGAAUGCAUUAUUGAGGGUUCCUUAAAGAAGGAAGAGGCCUCAGACUUCAGAGAGCUCUUUGAAAAAGGUGUCAGUUGGUUUGUAGCUCCAUGUUUUUCAACCAGAGAAAACUUACAACACAAUAAUAAUAUUUCAGAGCAAUCAUUAACGUCAAACAAACCUUCUGCUCUCAUGAUUGCUACUCGUGCGAAUCUGGCGACAGUUUUUAUUGAGAAAGGGAUCGUGCUGCUUUUGGUUUAAAGGAGUAAAAAGUGUUGAUUCUGACUAGAGUCUUCGUGUUGUUUUAUGAGUAUAUUAUUAACAGAUUCCUUUCUAUGAUCCCUGGCAAUACAGAAUAUUCACAUCCAAUAAUUAUAUUGGGUCUUCAGGUGCUACCAGUUCGACUAGCAUCGCCCCGUGACCUCUGUGGAAGGUCGCGGGGGUCAUACAGGUCGUUACACCGCUGAUGGUAAAUGUCAGUGACCGUGGUGAGGGAGACAAAUAACAGACGAUGAAGGUUGAUGCUCGGAGGAAUGUUUGAUCCACUCACAUCUACAUGAAUACGUUAAAGGUCUGAAUGUGGAAAGAAUUUAAAGACGAUGAUGUUCCUCAAAGAGAAGUUAGUAACAUUUAAAGAUUCUAUUAGCAGGUCAAUCUAAAAGCAAAAACAAGAUGUUUAAUAGAAACGCCGCCAGACCGCCAACUUUCGUCUACUUCAAAGCGUCUUUGAAGGAGGCAAACUGACUUCUGAUCUCUUUUAAUACACCUUCAAGUUCUCCUAUUCCACUAAAUAUCUCCUCACAUGAUGAAGCUGAUAAACAAGGUGACGUCUUUAACUUUCAUCACAUACAACAGGGAACAGAUGUUUACACUCAACCGUGUGGUUGUUAGAAUAGUUGCAUCUAUGUCAGUCGUGUUCCUUUAUUUGAAAUCAAGCAGAUCACAUGAAGGAGGCUCCUCCUCUCCGGCGUCUCGUUAGAGAGACAAAGUACCAGGUGGUCAGACCGGGACGUCCACCUUCCCCCAAACAAUGGCUGCUUCCUGUUCCUCCUUUUAACAUGCGUGUGUAUAUUCACGUUUUGCGCCUCCGUCCUCCGGUUCCUCUCACAAGGGAAAGAAAAAAAACAGAACUCGCCCCAUGGUCUCCAUGGUAACCAACAGUGCCUCUCUUUGAAUAUUCCCACUCAGGUGCUUUAGUCCUUGAACCCAGCGCGACUGCUUCAUGCUCCGCCUUUCUGUGCGGGAGGUUUGUUUUUGAGUUUACUGGGUCCCUGAAGGGGCAUCGGGAGCGUGACGUGUGAUGGAGUUCAUGCUUCUGUUGCCAUCUGUUUCUUUAAGUUAUUGACUAAAAUCUGAAACCAUAUUUAAUGGAAGGAAUCUGCUUGAGAGAAUAAUGUUAGUGUGUCGAAGUGGUAUAAAAGUCUCCUUAGGGGGAGGAGCCAGUUCUCUGCUGAUAGUCACAUGGUCCUGGACCACUUUAAUGUUGACAAAUGAGAGGGGAGGCGACCAGCAGCUGAAGCUUCGGGGGGGGUCCUCGCAACAUGUUAAUGUCAGUGUGGAACACAAACAUUUUAACUGUUGUGAUGGCCCACGUGUCUGUGGUGCUGGUCCACGUGGUCCACGUGUCUGUGGUGAUGAUCCACGUGUCUGUUGUCCUGGUGUCUGUGGUGAUGGUCCCACGUGUCUGUGGUGCUGGUCCACGUGUCUGUUGUCCUGGUGUCUGUGGUGAUGGUCCCACGUGUCUGUGGUGCUGGUCCACGUGGUCCACGUGUCUGUGGUGCUGGUCCACGUGUCUGUUGUCCUGGUGUCUGUGGUGAUGGUCCCACGUGUCUGUGGUGCUGGUCCACGUGGUCCACGUGUCUGUGGUGCUGGUCCACGUGGUCCACGUGUCUGUGGUGCUGGUCCACGU